rnacentral:lncRNA from 9 species
GAAUCCUAGCGGGGAGAUGAGCAGUAUAGAUUUCUAAGGCAGAACUCCCAGAGGAGAACUGCAUUUCUUCAAAGAGAAAGGAGAAAUGUAGUUCAGAAAUGAGGAAAGAGGCAUUUUUUUUUAAUAGGUGACAGAUUUGCCAGAAUGGUAAAAAUAACUGCUAGUUUUACUUAUUGUACAAUCAGCAGGCGCCCACACUGAGACCAGAAGAAGAUAUAAAAAUCCCUUUAUUUCCUAUAGAGCGGCUGAAGAUGGACUAUGGCUAUUGAGAAUACUGAAGCGUUUGAGUAAUAGAAGUAAAUUACAAGGCAGAGCAGACUUCAGAACUGUUUCUGCCCAUGUCUGAAGGAACCCUUAUUACAAAGAUGGUGCUCAGUGAGGGUUAAGAGCUAGAAUUCUGGUGCCAGACUGUCUGGGUGUGAAUCAUAGCUCUCACUCUCACUAGUUGUGGGACUUUGGAGAAAUCACUUAACCAUUCGCUGCCUCAGUUGCCUCAUCUGUCACAUGGGAAUGAUAAUAGUUUCUACCUCAUUGGUUGAUGCCAUGUCUUGGACCACCGGGGUGACCCAGCCUGCAUGACACAGCGCUGGGCAGGGUACCCGCAAGUCACUCAAAUCACCUUGGCCAGCAGUUCACCUUGCAGCCCUCCCCUGGGAAUGGUGUGACCCGGCAGGGAAGAGCUGCAUUAGGCAGCCCCCUCGAGGCCCUUUGGCACAGUCUGCUGGAGAGCUGAGCACUCAGCCAAAGUCUGCAGGAAGCUUCCCUUGAUAAGAAACAGACUCAAAAAGACACUGUAACUUAUCCAAGGCCACGCGUAUGGCCCGUAAAUGGCACGGCAGGGCUGGCACCCUUGGUCUGAGUUGUGUGUGUCUCGAAUGCCACACUGAACAGAAGGCCAGCUUUCCAGAUCGCCUGUGAUGGAACAGAAGGACUUUCCUCAGCCUGACCUCCAGGCUGACAGAGACCAGAAGCUAGUCACAUCUUCUUCGCUAAAGCCCAGACGGCAUGGAGAGAGAGGUAAGUGGUCCUUGUCUGAAGUCUUCUCCAUGGCUCCACACCUGAACCUGUUAAAGUGAUUGAGGUUUGUGGGGAGGCUGUUUCUGCACUGAGAGAGAACCUCGGCAUCCACACUGGAUUUGCAUACGCUGCAGGGUUUACCUUCCCAUCACUCAACAAAUAUUUACUGAGCACAUACUAGGAACCAGAUGCUACUCUGGACAUACAUCAGUGAACAGGUAAAGCCUCAUGUUCCAUAGGAAAAAUAGUUGCUGGUUUUUCCAAAUAAUCAUUUUAAGUAUGUUUUCCUAGGAACAAAAGUAAUAUUUGCUUAUUCUAUGAAAUUUGAGAAAUAUACAAAGUUUUUAGAAAAUAGAAAAAAAAAUCCAGCAGAAAAUGAUCAUCACCAUGCAGUAAUAAUGCGUGAUUACUCGCUUUUGUAUUAUCUUUUUUUUUUUUUUUUUGUCUUUUUUCUGUCUUUUUGUUGUUGUUGUUGUUGCUAUUUCUUGGGCCGCUCCCGCGGCACAUGGAGGUUCCCAGACUAGGGGUCACAUCGGAGCUGUAGCCACCGGCCUACGCCAGAGCCACAGCAACGCAGGAUCCGAGCCGUUUCUGCAACCUACACCACAGCUCACAGCAACGCGGGAUCGUUAACCCACUGAGCAAGGGCAGGGACCGAACCCGCAACCUCAUGGUUCCUAGUCGGAUUCGUUAACCACUGCGCCACGACGGGAACUCCUCGCUUUUGUAUUAUCUUACACACACACACACACACACCCACACACAUGUAUAUGUGUGUGUCCAUUAUGUAUUCAAUUUUAUGUCAUUUUUUCCCGUUUAGAGUGCAUUGCAAACUCUUAAUCCCUAUUUGGGCUGCUUAUAACAAAAUACCUGAGCCAGGGUGACUUAUAAAUAACAGAAAUUUCUUUCUCACAGCUCUGGAAGCUGGGAAAUUCAAGGUCAGUAUACCUGCAGACUGACGGUCUGCUAAGAACACAGUUCCUGAUUCACAGAUGGCAUCUUUUUGUCGUGCCUUCACAUACGGGAAGGUGCAAGGGAGCUCUCUUGGGGCCUCUUUAUAAAGGCACUAAUCCCAUCCAUGAGAGCUCCACCCUCAUGACCUAAUCACCUCCCAAAGACCCUCACCUCCUAAUACCUUCACCUUGGGGGAUUAGGAUUUCAACUUUUGAAUUUUGAAGUGACACAAACCUUCAGACCGUAGCACAAACUUAUUCCCACAUCAUGAAAAUAUGAUAUUUAAUGGCUGCAUAUGGUUCCAUCCUGUAGCAAUACCAACUAUUUAACCACGCCGCAACCAUUUCACAUUUCAGUUGAUUCCAGUGUUUCACUGUGAUAAGCAACGCCUUGAAGAACCAUCUUGUACAUGAGUCUUUGGCUUCAUCGCCGAUUAGUUGUUUAGAAUAUAAUCAGAGAAGUGGGAUUACCAGUUCAAAGGGUAUGCAAAUGCUCAUGUUCUUGAUAAAUAUUGCCAGGUUGCUUUCCAGAGUGUUAGCACCAAUUUACAUUUUCACCUGUAUUUUGUGAGAUGCCUUCUCCUGCCAAUAGUCAGUAUUAGAGUGUUUCUAAUCUUUGCCAAUUUGUUACAUUAAAGAAUGGUAUUUCAUUUUAAGACUGGUUCACUUCCUAGGUUGCUCAGUAAUUAUUGGGAUUUGCUUAAACCUGAGUUUUAAUCCCAGGUCUGGCACCUUCUAACAAGAUACAUAACCUCUCUAAGCAUCAAUUUUCUUUCCAUCAAAUGUUGAUAGUUAUUCGGACUUUUUGGGAUACUGUGUGGAUUAAAUGUGUUCAGGUUUAUAACUGUUUUAACGUUCUGUUUAACGUUCUGCCUGUCACAGAACGAAUAAAUGGUAGUUAUUAUCAUGGACAUGACAAUUCAAAAAUUAUCAACACAUGAAUAGUUUCAGCCUUUUUUCUUCCCUCUGUGUUUUAAUGAAGAGUCUCAUUUCGCUCAACUGUAUUUCUUUCCCUUCUCCUCUGAAGGGGGGCUGCCUUUCUUUGGGGCUUUUGUGAAUUAGAAUUAGUAGGAAUGAGAGGGGAAAAAAAGCACAAAGAGACACGCUGACCAGGGACAGACCACCCAAUACCCAGUGGCUAAUAAUGCACCUGGAUCUGGUAGUGGCUACAAGUAGCCCUGGUGGUGGCAGGGCUCAGCUGGGUGGUUCUGCUUUAGGUUGUGGCUUAGUUCCGGGCUGUGAAGGGGUUCAGGUCUGCCCCACCUGUGCUUGACCUGGGGCCUGUAUGGAAUGAGGAGAAAAUAGCCCAGGGUGUGUUCUCAUGUGAGAUCACCAGAGAAACGAGGUCAUCAUGCCAAAACCCACAGGCAAAUUUAAGGCCUGUGCACCUGUUAUACCUGUUAGUAUCCUACUGGCCAAAGCAAGUCAUGUGGCCCAGGCCAACAUCAGCGGGCGGGAAGUCUCCUUCCCCACAAUAGGGGGAAGGGAGUGACUGUGUUCUGAACAAAUGAUCAUAACGAGGAGUUCCAGGAAAUUUCAGGAAGAGGGUGCUCGACUGUGUGGUGUAAGGAAACUGGGAGAAAAGAAAAGUGGUCACGAGACAUGUUGGAUAUGGGUGAGAUUUUGCAGAUCAGAAUCCUUUUAAUUUCUCAAAGUCUCUGGUCAGGAACUUGUAAAUUACCUUUUGUCUGUCUGGACUGGGCUUUAUCAAAUGGUACUUGCCCUCGGGACUGAGAGUGUGUGAUGUCUUGCCUGGUGCCACAUAGUGGAAACAAUUACCUUCAGAGCUUUUCCUCUUUGCAUGUCUUAGAACUUUCAAGCAUUUUCUGAUGGUUCUGUUUCUUUUUCUCCCGCUAGUGGAAGAGUAUGGAUAGUGACUCCCUAAUUGUAAUUACCAAGCGAGGCACAACAUCUCCACAGGAUGUGUGUCAGCCGCCCCAUUGCCAUCUCUUUGAGAAAAGAGACAUCAAGUUUGAGAAAACUUGGACUCUCCCUGAGGGCUGAGAAUGAGAGCAACCAACUGGGUCUCAAUCAUGGCUCAGAAGCUCCAAAGUCAAUCACAGAACCUUCCAAUGAAAUCAAAUUGAUAGCGAGCACAGGGCGUGACUCUGGUGAGAUAGAGCCAGAAGAGGUUUCCUGAGAGAACUGUGUCCUGCUAGCCGCCGUCAUUGUCUGUGUAAAAAGCUUCCCCUCGCCUCCCUGGAGACCGUUUACUUGGAACGUGACAGGUUCUCAAUGUCCUGGUCUCUGGGUUUGCUUAGUUCUGCAAACGGCUGCACAUCACAUGCAUAUCAUUACCCCACAUUCCCAGCAGGAUGGAGGGGCUUGUUAAUAGAUUCGUCCUGAAUUUUAUUUCUCACUUACUCUGACACUAAGUAGACAUGGCUGUAUCAGCUCUGCUUCGUUCUCUAAAUGUUAUCUGUCUAUAACUUUACCCAAAACAUUUUUGCUUUGUUUCCAAGAAAGCAAUGUUUCUGACCUCUUUAAAAGAAAAAAUCCACGCCUUGGAGUUCCCAUCGUGGCUCAGUGGUUAACGAAUCGGACUAGGAACCAUGAGGUUGCAGGUUCGAUCCCUGGCCUUGCUCAGUGGGUUAAGGAUUCAGUAUUACCAUGAGCUGUGGUGUAGGUCGAAGAUGCGGCUUGGAUCUGGCGUUGCUGUGGCUGUGGCAUAGGCCAAUGUCUACAGCUCUGAUUAGACCCCUAGCCUGGGAACCUCCAUAUGCCACAGGUAUGGCCCUAGAAAAGGCAAAAAAAAAAAAAAAAAAAAAAAAAAAAAAAAAUCCACACCCAGAAGAAUCAUAAGCAGUGUAAAGAAUUACACUAAAUAAUUGGUCCUCAGCCUUCCUAGAGCAGUGGCUUAGGGCAUCAGUAGUCUCAAUAUCAUUGGGCUUCUGCUGGAAUAAUGAGCAGCAUGUGUACUUUUAAAUGUAUAGUAUAUUUGAGUAUUGGGAGCAGGGAAUUUGUGUAGUUCUGUCUUCUUAAGUCAUUAGAAGACAUUUUAAAGAGUUUUCUUUAAAUCUAUGGCCAGAUUGGCUAUCUCCCUGUUUCCAUAAAAAGAAGGGAGUGUGAAGAUAAAAUCUCUGCUUUCUCCCUCCCCAAAUGGUGGCUUUUUUUUUUUUUUUUUUUUUCUUUUUGGCUUUUCUGGAGUCCUGUUGAAGGCAGUACUUUCACGAGUUUAAAUGCUCUGACUCAGGAGUUGGAUAAGGCAGGUUUGCAUCCUAGCUCUGUGACCUUUCAUAAGCGACUUGAGCUUUCCUGUGUCUCAGUUUCUUCUUCUGAAAAUGAGGAAGAGACUAGACUCUAACUGUGGAAUGUCAGCUACCUGCCAUUUCGGAAGCUUCCUCACUUGGCCCCCGUGGCAUGUGGGCCAUGGCUAUAGCUGGCAGCCUCCCACACCCUCCGGCCGGGUCCCACCUCCAGCAUCGCCGAGUCCCUCAGCUUUGCUUGUUCAGGGACUUUUCCAAAAUGGAAGACCUGGAAAGCUCAGAGGGUUAACGCUCACCAGUGGGAUGGGAGUCCAUUCUCUGAUCCAGAGGGUGCGGUGUGGUCUUCACGGUCCCAGAGGGCACACACUAGGAUUGAGCCUCAGCUGCUCAUGGCGUUCACCAAAUGCACCACGUACUGACUUCUGUCCCCUGUCCUUCCUCCAUCUACACCCCCUUGCUGCUGCUUCCUGGUGUCCCCUCCCACUAAACUGCCUGGUCUAAGUCCUUAUCGCAAGCUCUACUCAGGGGAAUCUCAACUAGGAAAACUCUCAGUAAAUAUUUGCUCUUAUUAUUUUUAUGCAAAAGCUUUUCCAUUCCUGGGCAGACUAGUUUUGGAACUCAAAUUCAGGAUACACGUUGAAACUUUUUUUUUUUUUCUCAUUUGAAAUUUUAUUUAAAUCGAAAAAUGUACAAACUGAUCAAUGCCGCCUCAUCCUCCAGUUGCACCUUUAGCAAAUCCUUUGAAAUCAGACUGCUUCCCCAGUAUUGGAACCUGCACUUCUCUUCCUUUCUUGCCGCUUGGGGAGGAGCUGGGCAGCCGGGGUGACGUGGGGUUGGGGGGGGCGCUCAGGGGACUCAGUGUCUUCGUGCCAACGGUGGGCUGUCUGUAUUGGCAUGUGCUGCCUGGAUCUCAGCCCUGGUGGUCGAGGUUGCCGUCAGGUUCUCCAGACUCUUUCACCCAAGCCCUUUUUGAUCCCCGACACCACCAUUGGCAGGACAACUGAGUGGGAUGAAGAUUCUAGCCAGUGACCAUAGAAUUUUUUUUUUUCUCCUAUCAGGGCAAAGCCAACUGGCCUGCAACAGUAUCGACCUCCACUUUGGCUUCAUUGGCUCAGUGCUGAGGAUUUAAGCCAACUGGCCUACGUGGACAGCUUCUAGCAUUACCACGGCCUGAUCUUUCCCCUUUGGAAAUUUUCAUUGUAAUUAUCCUGGCGUUUCGCCAUGAUCAGCCUCAUGGCUAUGUGGCAGGGAGCUGAACCUUGCGGGUGGGUUGGCGCAGUUCUUCGGAUGGGUUCGUGUGGGCAAAAGUCCUCCUUCUAGUUCUCUUUUAAAUUCAAUCCCUCUCUGGCUUGGCCAUGAGGGCACAGGCAUUGCCAAGGUGAUUUUAUUAUGUGUAUCCUGGAGUAUGUUGCCUUUUGAGUUUGUAGUUCUGUUUCCUGGAAUUAUUGCUUCUGGUAGGAUUAGGGUUGAUUUCUGGCUCUUUGUUGUUGUUUCAGCUGAAAUGUUUUAUUCCUUCACUUUGCCAUUUCAUGAAGUUGAGUGAGGACAGCCAUCAGCUCUGGGAAGGUCAUUUUAGAGGGUGUUCCUGCUCUAAGCUUCUCCUCCUGGCUGCUUGUGGUGAGGUGCGAGACCAGAGGCAAGUUGCAGCUCCGAGGCUCAUUGACUGUGGAAUUGUGGGCUUCUGCCUUGGCUUCUCUGAGUCUCUGUUUCCUCAGCUGCAAGGUGGAAAUAAAGAUAGGCCAAAAGAGAGUUGUGUAAAUCAAAGUAGAAAGCCAUCUAAGGUAUUCGUUCAUCUAGUAAAUAUCAAAGGAAGUCUUACCAGAAUGCCCAGCCUUUGGGAGCUGUGGUUUGGUGCGGAAAAUGACACAUGAAUGGGCAGCCAUAGUACAGACUCAUAAAUCCUACAAACAGGAAUAAAUACAAGGUGUUACAGGAGCACAUGGGAAUGAGGCUUAACUUAGUCUUGAGGGCUCAUAGAGAGCUUCUUAGAAGAAGCAUAGGAAGAUUAAGUUAUUCAUGGUAAUAUUAGUUAUGAUUAGUUGGGUGCUUACUAUGUGCUGGAUAGUAAUGCUGGGCACUACCUCAGUGAGAUAUCAAUACCUCAAUUAGAUAUCACAAUAGCGCCUAUCUUAUAGGGGUCUUAACUUCCCUUUCAUAGUCAAAGAAACCAGGAGUUCCUGUUGUGGCGCAGUGGAAAUGAAUCCCACUAGAAACCAUGAGGUCGUGGGUUCGAUCCCUGGCCUUGCUCAGUGGGUUAAGGAUCUGGUGUUGCUGUGAGCUGUGAUGUAGGUCACAGAUGAGGCUUGGAUCUAGCGUUGCUGUGACUGUGGUGUAGGCCAGCAGCUGUAGCUCCCUUCGACCCCUAGCCUAGAACCUCCAUAUGCCGCAGGUGCGGCCCUAAAAGAAAAAGACAAAAAGACAAAAAAAAAAAAAAAA